rnacentral:rRNA from 1 species
CCUACGGGUGGCAGCAGUGAGGAAUAUUGGUCAAUGGGCGGGAGCCUGAACCAGCCAAGCCGCGUGAGGGAAGAAGGUACAGCGUAUCGUAAACCUCUUUUGUCAGGGGACAAAGGCGGGGACUAGUCCCCGGCUGAGGGUACCUGAAGAAAAAGCAUCGGCUAACUCCGUGCCAGCAGCCGCGGUAAUACGGAGGAUUCGAGCGUUAUCCGGAUUUAUUGGGUUUAAAGGGUGCGCAGGCGGGCGGUUAAGUCAGCGGUGAAAGGCCGGGGCUCAACCCCGGGAGUGCCUUUGAGCCUGGCGGGCUGGAGAGGGAGAGAGGUAGGCGGAAUGUGCGGUGUAGCGGUGAAAUGCUUAGAGAUCGCGCAGAACCCCGAUUGCGAAGGCAGCGUACCG